rnacentral:tRNA from 1 species
GGGGAUUUAGCUCAAAGGCAUAAGCACCUGCCUUGUAAGCAGGUGGGUGGUCGUGAGUUCAGUCCCCA